GACGAACGCUGGCGGCGUGCUUAACACAUGCAAGUCGAACGGUGAUGCUCCAGCUUGCUGGGGUGGCUCAGUGGCGAACGGGUGAGUAACACGUGAGCAACCUGCCCAAGACUCUGGAAUAAGCGCUGGAAACGGCGUCUACUACUGGAUACGAAACUGGCCCGCAUGGGCAUGGUUUGGAAUGUUUUUCGGUUUGGGAUGGGCUCGCGGCCUACCAGCUUGUUGGUGAGGUAAUGGCUCACCAAGGCGACGACGGGUAGCCGGCCUGAGAGGGCGACCGGCCACACUGGGACUGAGGCACGGCCCAGACUCCUACGGGAGGCAGCAGUGGGGAAUAUUGCACAAUGGGCGAAAGCCUGAUGCAGCGACGCCGCGUGAGGGAUGACGGCCUUCGGGUUGUAAACCUCAUUCAGCAGGGAAGAAGCGAAAGUGACGGUACCUGCAGAAGAAGCACCGGCUAACUACGUG
rnacentral:rRNA from 1 species